GCUUAGAGUUUGAUCCUGGCUCAGAUUGAACGCUGGCGGCAGGCUUAACACAUGCAAGUCGAGCGGAGAUGAGGUGCUUGCACCUUAUCUUAGCGGCGGACGGGUGAGUAAUGCUUAGGAAUCUGCCAUUUAGUGGGGGACAACAUUCCGAAAGGAAUGCUAAUACCGCAUACGUCCUACGGGAGAAAGCAGGGGAUCUUCGGACCUUGCGCUAAAUGAUGAGCCUAAGUCGGAUUAGCUAGUUGGUGGGGUAAAGGCCUACCAAGGCGACGAUCUGUAGCGGGUCUGAGAGGAUGAUCCGCCACACUGGGACUGAGACACGGCCCAGACUCCUACGGGAGGCAGCAGUGGGGAAUAUUGGACAAUGGGCGGAAGCCUGAUCCAGCCAUGCCGCGUGUGUGAAGAAGGCCUUUUGGUUGUAAAGCACUUUAAGCGAGGAGGAGGCUACUAGUACUAAUACUACUGGAUAGUGGACGUUACUCGCAGAAUAAGCACCGGCUAACUCUGUGCCAGCAGCCGCGGUAAUACAGAGGGUGCGAGCGUUAAUCGGAUUUACUGGGCGUAAAGCGUGCGUAGGCGGCUUUUUAAGUCGGAUGUGAAAUCCCCGAGCUUAACUUGGGAAUUGCAUUCGAUACUGGGAAGCUAGAGUAUGGGAGAGGAUGGUAGAAUUCCAGGUGUAGCGGUGAAAUGCGUAGAGAUCUGGAGGAAUACCGAUGGCGAAGGCAGCCAUCUGGCCUAAUACUGACGCUGAGGUACGAAAGCAUGGGGAGCAAACAGGAUUAGAUACCCUGGUAGUCCAUGCCGUAACGAUGUCUACUAGCCGUUGGGGCCUUUGAGGCUUUAGUGGCGCAGCUAACGCGAUAAGUAGACCGCCUGGGGAGUACGGUCGCAAGACUAAAA
rnacentral:rRNA from 1 species